rnacentral:lncRNA from 1 species
UCCUUCCCUUUCUUCUCCACUUUUUUCAUCCAUUCUCCUCCUCCUUUUUUUCCUCUCCUUCCUUCUCAUGCACUUCUUCUUCUCAUCCUUUUUUUCCAAACGACUCACAAACUAUCCCUCUUUAUGGUGGCCUCCUCCAUCUUUGUCCAUUUUUGCCUUUUACAUCUUCCUCCCUAUCCUUUUCUCCUUCCCUUCCUCUUUCUUCAUCCUAUUCCUUGCCGGUGGCCUCUCUACCUUCCUUCUUUUCCUUCUCGUUCUCUUUCUCUUUUAAACCAACUCAUGAGUCCUAUCCCUUAAGAUGGCCCCCUUUAAAUCUACCCCUUAUCACUGGCAAAAAAAUCCUUCUCAUCCCUUUCUUUCUCACUCAUUUCUUUUUCUUCAUGAUGGCUCCCUCCACCUUCUUUUCUUCAUCAUCUAUUUCACCUCCUCAUCCUCUUUUUUCUUCAAACCG